rnacentral:rRNA from 1 species
GCAUAUCAAUAAGCGGAGGAAAAGAAACCAACCGGGAUUGCCUCAGUAACGGCGAGUGAAGCGGCAAGAGCUCAAAUUUGAAAGCUGGCUCCUUCGGGGUCCGCAUUGUAAUUUGCAGAGGAUGCUUCGGGUGCAGCCCCCGUCUAAGUGCCCUGGAACGGGCCGUCAUAGAGGGUGAGAAUCCCGUAUGGGGCGGGGUGUCUGCGUCCGUGUGAAGCUCCUUCGACGAGUCGAGUUGUUUGGGAAUGCAGCUCUAAAUGGGUGGUAAAUUUCAUCUAAAGCUAAAUACUGGCCGGAGACCGAUAGCGCACAAGUAGAGUGAUCGAAAGAUGAAAAGCACUUUGAAAAGAGAGUUAAACAGCACGUGAAAUUGUUGAAAGGGAAGCGCUUGCAACCAGACUCGCUCGCGGGGUUCAGCCGGGCUUCGGCCCGGUGUACUUCCCCGCGGGCGGGCCAGCGUCGGUUUGGGCGGCCGGUCAAAGGCCUCCGGAAUGUAGCGCCCUUCGGGGCGCCUUAUAGCCGGGGGUGCAAUGCGGCCAGCCUGGACCGAGGAACGCGCUUCGGCACGGACGCUGGCAUAAUGGUUGUAAACGACCCGUCUUGAAACACGGACCAAGGAGUCUAACAUCUACGCGAGUGUUCGGGUGUCAAACCCGUACGCGCAGUGAAAGCGAACGGAGGUGGGAGCCCCCUCGCGGGGCGCACCAUCGACCGAUCCUGAUGUCUUCGGAUGGAUUUGAGUACGAGCGUAGCUGUGGGGACCCGAAAGAUGGUGAACUAUGCCUGAAUAGGGCGAAGCCAGAGGAAACUCUGGUGGAGGCUCGCAGCGGUUUCUGACGUGCAAAUCGAUCGUCAAAUUUGGGUAUAGGGGCGAAAGACUAAUCGAACCAUCUGGUAGCUGGUUCCUGCGA